CAGUUGCCGCGGUAAUACGAAGGGUGCAAGCGUUACUCGGAAUUACUGGGCGUAAAGCGUGCGUAGGUGGUGGUUUAAGUCCGUUGUGAAAGCCCUGGGCUCAACCUGGGAAUUGCAGUGGAUACUGGGUCACUAGAGUGUGGUAGAGGAUAGUGGAAUUUCCGGUGUAGCAGUGAAAUGCGUAGAGAUCGGAAGGAACAUCUGUGGCGAAGGCGACUAUCUGGGCCAACACUGACACUGAGGCACGAAAGCGUGGGGAGCAAACAGGAUUAGAUACCCCUGUAGUCCCUGUCUCUUAUAA
rnacentral:rRNA from 1 species